rnacentral:rRNA from 1 species
UACGGAGGGUGCAAGCGUUAUCCGGAUUUAUUGGGUUUAAAGGGUCCGUAGGCGGACUUAUAAGUCAGUGGUGAAAUCUCAUAGCUUAACUAUGAAACUGCCAUUGAUACUGUAAGUCUUGAGUGUAGUUGAGGUAGCUGGAAUAAGUAGUGUAGCGGUGAAAUGCAUAGAUAUUACUUAGAACACCAAUUGCGAAGGCAGGUUACCAAGUUACAACUGACGCUGAUGGACGAAAGCGUGGGGAGCGAACAGGAUUAGAUACCCUGGUAGUCCACGCUGUAAACGAUGCUAACUCGUUUUUGGGGCGCAAGCUUCAGAGACCAAGCGAAAGUGAUAAGUUAGCCACCUGGGGAGUACGAACGCAAGUUUGAA